rnacentral:rRNA from 1 species
GAUUAACGCUGGCGGCGUGCAUAACACAUGCAAGUCGAACGAUGAAACUUAGUAGACUUCUUCGGAAAGACACUAAGCGGUUUAGUGGCGAACGGGUGAGUAACGCGUGAGUAACCUGCCUUACACAAGGGGAUAGCCUUUGGAAACGAAGAAUAAUACCCUAUAAAACCAUAAAAGCACAUGCUAGAAUGGUCAAAGUGAUAGCGGUGUAAGAUGGACUUGCGUCUGAUUAGCUAGUUGGUGAGAUAAAAGCUCACCAAGGCAACGAUCAGUAGCCGGCUUGAGAGAGUGUACGGCCACAUUGGGACUGAGACACGGCCCAGACUCCUACGGGAGGCAGCAGUGGGGAAUUUUGCACAAUGGGGGAAACCCUGAUGCAGCGACGCCGCGUGAUUUAGAAGGCCUUCGGGUUGUAAAAAUCUUUUGUAUAGGAAGAAAAUGACAGUACUAUACGAAUAAGGUCCGGCUAAUUACGUG